UAGUCCACGCCGUAAACGAUGAUUACUCGGUGCUAGCGAUAUAAAGUUAGUGCCCAAGCGAAAGUGAUAAGUAAUCCACCUGGGAAGUACGGUCGCAAGAUUGAAACUCAAAGGAAUUGACGGGGGCCCGCACAAGCGGUGGAGCAUGUGGUUUAAUUCGAUGAUACGCGAGGAACCUUACCUGGGCUUAAAUGCAGUUUGACAGAUUGGGAAACCAGUUUUUCUUCGGACAGAUUGCAAGGUGCUGCAUGGUUGUCGUCAGCUCGUGCUGUGAGGUGUCGGGUUAAGUCCCAUAACGAGCGCAACCCCUAUCCUUAGUUGCCAGCGAGUAAUGUCGGGGACUCUAGGGAAACUGCCGGUGCAAACCGUGAGGAAGGUGGGGAUGACGUCAAAUCAUCACGGCCCUUACGUCCUGGGGCCACACACGUGCUACAAUGGGCAGGGUACAGAGAGCAGCCACCUCGC
rnacentral:rRNA from 1 species